CCGACGGUGAGGGAUGAAAGCUGGGGGAGCAAACCGGAUUAGAUACCCGGGUAGUCCCAGCUGUAAACGAUGCAAACUCGAUGAUGCGUUGGCUUAUUGCUAGCGCAGUGUCGCAGGGAAGCCGUUAAGUUUGCCGCCUGGGAAGUACGUACGCAAGUAUGAAACUUAAAGGAAUUGGCGGGGGAGCACCACAAGGGGUGAAGCCUGCGGUUCAAUUGGAGUCAACGCCUGAAACCUUACCCGGAGAGACAGCAGAAUGAAGGUCAAGCUGAAGACUUUACCAGACAAGCUGAGAGGUGGUGCAUGGCCGUCGCCAGCUCGUGCCGUGAGAUGUCCUGUUAAGUCAGGUAACGAGCGAGAUCCCUGCCUCUAGUUGCCACUAUUACACCCUGGUGUAGUGGGGCGAAUUAGCGGGACCGCCGCAGUUAAUGCGGAGGAAGGAAGGGGCCACGGCAGGUCAGUAUGCCCCGAAACUCUGGGGCCACACGCGGGCUGCAAUGGUAACGACAAUUGGUUUCGAAUCCGAAAGGAUGAGGUAAUCCUCAAACGUUACCACAGUUAUGACUGAGGGCUGCAACUCGCCCUCACGAAUAUGGAAUCCCUAGUAACUGCGUGUCAUUAUCGCGCGGUGAAUACGUCCCUGCUCCUUGCACUCACCGCCCGU
rnacentral:rRNA from 1 species